CUGUAUUCUUUACUUUUACAAUAUCAUAAUUUUACACACCCGGAUGCUACUUUGUUAACUUGAGAGGGAUAGUACUUUUGUUCAGUAAGUAUUGACAGCAGGCGUGUGAUGUGUUAUUGAUUUACUCCAUUCAUUGUAAUUACAUCUCGAACAAAGGGUAUUUUGCAUUCUUUUAAGCUUCUUGGAUUAUAUCUCCAGUGCAGUGCACAAGAGACUUGUCUUUCGAUGUGUCAGAAUGUGUAUGCUAAAAGUUGGUCUUUGAUUCACAUGAAAAGUACAAUCUUUCUGAAUUUUCGGACUCAAACUUUGUCUCUUUGCAAUAUAUUUUCUGGAAUGAAAACAGCAAACUUUCUUUCAUUCAAAGAAUUGAAGCCAAUCAUUACUGGGAAAAGUAAAGUAAAGUUGCGAUCUAUGGACUAUAUGAUGUAAAUGCCAUCUGUUUCAGUGGCUCACAAGGGUG